rnacentral:rRNA from 1 species
AGAGUUUGAUCCUGGCUCAGGAUGAACGCUAGCUACAGGCUUAACACAUGCAAGUCGAGGGGAAACGAUAGAGAAAGCUUGCUUUUUCUAGGCGUCGACCGGCGCACGGGUGAGUAACGCGUAUCCAACCUGCCCAUCACUUGGGGAUAACCUUGCGAAAGUAAGACUAAUACCCAAUGACGUCCAUAGAAGACAUCUGAAAUGGAUUAAAGAUUUAUCGGUGAUGGAUGGGGAUGCGUCUGAUUAGCUUGUUGGCGGGGUAACGGCCCACCAAGGCGACGAUCAGUAGGGGUUCUGAGAGGAAGGUCCCCCACAUUGGAACUGAGACACGGUCCAAACUCCUACGGGAGGCAGCAGUGAGGAAUAUUGGUCAAUGGACGAGAGUCUGAACCAGCCAAGUAGCGUGCAGGAUGACGGCCCUAUGGGUUGUAAACUGCUUUUAUAAGGGAAUAAAGUGAGUCUCGUGAGACUUUUUGCAUGUACCUUAUGAAUAAGGACCGGCUAAUUCCGUGCCAGCAGCCGCGGUAAUACGGAAGGUCCGGGCGUUAUCCGGAUUUAUUGGGUUUAAAGGGAGCAUAGGCCGGAGAUUAAGCGUGUUGUGAAAUGUAGACGCUCAACGUCUGCACUGCAGCGCGAACUGGUUUCCUUGAGUACGCACAAAGUGGGCGGAAUUCGUGGUGUAGCGGUGAAAUGCUUAGAUAUCACGAAGAACUCCGAUUGCGAAGGCAGCUCACUGGAGCGCAACUGACGCUGAAGCUCGAAAGUGCGGGUAUCGAACAGGAUUAGAUACCCUGGUAGUCCGCACGGUAAACGAUGGAUGCCCGCUGGUGGUCUGAAUAGGGCACCGGCCAAGCGAAAGCAUUAA